rnacentral:rRNA from 1 species
UUUAACUGAAGAGUUUGAUCAUGGCUCAGAUUGAACGCUGGCGGCAGGCUUAACACAUGCAAGUCGAGCGGGGGAAGGUAGCUUGCUACCGGACCUAGCGGCGGACGGGUGAGUAAUGCUUAGGAAUCUGCCUAUUAGUGGGGGACAACAUCUCGAAAGGGAUGCUAAUACCGCAUACGUCCUACGGGAGAAAGCAGGGG